CGGCUGGACCACAGAGAGCCAGGGCCUGUGAUCAGCAUCAACCCUAUCACAAUACCACAUGGGGUACACAGUGGAGGAAGUGGGGAAUAAAAGAAGAGUUGAGUGACAGGUAAUUGACCAACACCAGCCAAGUAGCAGGCUGCAAAGAGAGUUACAGCACCUUGCUGCUGCAGAACAAACCUCAAAGACAACACUCUAUGCUGUUUUUAUUGUUAAACCUGUGUUCUGCCAUUGUCUGCCCUCCCUGCUGAGAUCAUCUCUCUCUCUCUCUCUCUCUCUCUCUCUCUCUCUCUCUCUCUCUCUCUCUCUCUCUCUCACUGUGGCUCAAGAUGAAUCUGCCAGCAUGUGCCCAUGCUCUUCAUCACUGUCAGGUGCCCCAUGGUGGUCCUCCUCCUCUUUCUCAAACUGGGCACCAACCGCUGGCUGGAAUUAUUCCUCACCUCCGAAACUCUCCCCACUGUUUCUAAAUAAAUGUGGCUGUAGUAACCGA